AAGGGGAAAUCAGUCUCUUCAGUUUAGGCGCUCAAUGUAGCACGUUGCGAUUCGUAUUCAAAUGAGAGACUGCUUGGGAAAAACCAAUAGUGAGUUGGUGAUUAAGCCAUGAAGGUGCGAAUAAGGAAACACAGCAUUUUGUCCAUGCAUGUUGUUCUCCACGUGACGAUUUCCCUCUUGUUUUCUGACUCUUUCGUUGUUCUCAACUGGCUAACAAAAACAUUGGGUUUUAGUCAAGAAGCAGGUUACACUUUCAUCCAAAACCCUGACUAAAUAUUGGUUGGUUCGAUCAGAAAAUACCUCACCAAACUACUUGUGUGUGUUGAAGUGUGAUUGGUCAAGGUGAUGUCAUUGCUUGAAUGCCAACUGAAGUUGAGCUUUCGUUGCCUACUGUUGUGGAAAACUCACUGAACACCACAAACAAUUCUGUAGACUAUUCUUGAACUACUACUAUGGUCGCUCAGAUAUUGACAGAAUAAUGGGCCCAAAUAAAUUUUCGUCCAAGCCACAGCAGUGAUACUACAUUUCAUCAUUAAUUCAUCAACUCUUCCAUGUCAUCAAUUCAUUGCCAAGAAGACAACACAAAGGUAGGAACAUAAAAAAAACAUUCUUUUCCCCAAUUUUCCUCGUUAUUGUUACAGCCUCAUUUGCAAAGAUAUAGUUUUUUUUUUGAGAAUCCUAUGUUAAUUUUGGGGAUUUUCAUCGUUCGUUUGAGUGUUUUUCGUUCGUGAAAUCUAUGACGUUUUUUUUUCUCGUUCGGUUCAACACACACAGAUAAUUUUUUAUGGGAAGUACGAGGAUAGGCCAAUUGAAUUCACUUGUUCAGAAUAAUCUAUUUUUUGCGAUAGGUCUUGCUCAGAAGUCCUAAAAAGCCUAAAAUACGUAAGCCGACAAUCAUAGCAACCAAGCACCAAA